AAUUCUCAGAUUCAGCCGCCCCGAAUUGGCUGUGGUUAUGGCGGCGGUGGGUUGCUCAUAGAGUGCUCUUCAAGGCCGCAGAAGAAGGCAACAGCUCAUCACAUGAAGACAAGGCCAAGAAAGAGUCAGCUAUGGGACGUAAGGCGCAAACUCACUGUUUAUCAUCCUUUAUCUCCUCUUCCUCCUGAUUAGACUCUCCUUUUCUCCGAUGACGCUGAUGGUAACGGUGGUUCUGCUACUGAGGCUGCUUUGCCUUCUGCUUCUUCCUUCCAGGCAUCAAUUACCAGAAUUUGAUGGUUUCAGUUCCCUGUUUCACUUCCACAGCAUGCACUGACAGAAUUGGUUCCUCAACAUUUUCCAAUUCCUGCAACUCCUCCAACAUAUUCAAGUCAUCCUCUUCAUUUUCUACUUCUAAUUUGCCCAGUCUGCAAAGCCAUCAUAGUCUUGUUGUUUACAGUCUCCCCACGUUUGUAACAAGGUCUUGGAUUGGUUCUAGCGGUUGAAUUAGGUGGAUUGGAAGGUCUGUUUACUGAAGAAUUAGUUGUUGCAGCAGAAGCAAUACUACUGCCAGUAGUUGUUUUGCUCAGUGGAUAAUUUCUCUUGGAUUGAGAAUUAACAAGAGGUGGUCUUAAAGGAUAAGAAUAUGGUUGGUUAGGUCUAAAAUUCUGAUAAGAUUGGCUGCCAUUUCCAGAACCGAAAUUACUAGCAAGAUUGUUAUUGUUAGCACUGCUGUGGGUAGCAUAUUUGAAACUUGAAGGAGUGGAAAAAUUCCUAGCACGCCUUUAUACCUUCUAGCAUUAUCCGAGAGUUGCUCCUACAAUCUAGCAACUUCAAUGGCCUGAGGCAGAGUAGUAGGUUUCAUCAUUCUCGCUGUAAGUCUCGCAUCAUCUGUUUCAUCAUUCUCGCCAUAAGUCUCGCAUUAUCCUUCAAUCCUCCAAUAAAUCCUAAAAGGAAAUAGGAUUCCCCCAAAUCUGGCAUUGCCUUCUCCAUUCUAAUCCUCAAAUCUUCACAAGCAUCUUGAUACUCCUCCACUGAACUCCCCUGUCUUAACUUCAUAAAUUCCUCGACAAUAUCUUGCAACCCAUAUCCUCAAAUCUCUCACAAAUACCCUGUUCAAACUAUUCCCAAGUGUGACUCUUUUCCAUAUUUCAAUUGUGGAACCAAGCAUCUAUCUUAUCAGUCAAAUACAAACUAGCAAUUCCAAUUCUUUUAUCUUUAAGCACUCCAUACACAUCAAAAUAGUAAACUCAUGUCCUAAU
rnacentral:misc_RNA from 1 species